rnacentral:rRNA from 1 species
AGAGUUUGAUCCUGGCUCAGGACGAACGCUGGCGGCGUGCCUAAUACAUGCAAGUCGAGCGGACAGAAGGGAGCUUGCUCCCGGAUGUUAGCGGCGGACGGGUGAGUAACACGUGGGUAACCUGCCUGUAAGACUGGGAUAACUCCGGGAAACCGGAGCUAAUUCCGGAUAGUUCCUUGAACCGCAUGGUUCAAGGAUGAAAGACGGUUUCGGCUGUCACUUACAGAUGGACCCGCGGCGCAUUAGCUAGUUGGUGGGGUAAUGGCUCACCAAGGCGACGAUGCGUAGCCGACCUGAGAGGGUGAUCGGCCACACUGGGAAUGAGACACGGCCCAGACUCCUACGGGAGGCAGCAGUAGGGAAUCUUCCGCAAUGGACGAAAGUCUGACGGAGCAACGCCGCGUGAGUGAUGAAGGUUUUCGGAUCGUAAAGCUCUGUUGUUAGGGAAGAACAAGUGCGAGAGUAACUGCUCGCACCUUGACGGUACCUAACCAGAAAGCCACGGCUAACUACGUGCCAGCAGCCGCGGUAAUACGUAGGUGGCAAGCGUUGUCCGGAAUUAUUGGGCGUAAAGGGCUCGCAGGCGGUUUCUUAAGUCUGAUGUGAAAGCCCCCGGCUCAACCGGGGAGGGUCAUUGGAAACUGGGAAACUUGAGUGCAGAAGAGGAGAGUGGAAUUCCACGUGUAGCGGUGAAAUGCGUAGAGAUGUGGAGGAACACCAGUGGCGAAGGCGACUCUGUGGUCUGUAACUGACGCUGAGGAGCGAAAGCGUGGGGAGCGAACAGGAUUAGAUACCCUGGUAGUCCACGCCGUAAACGAUGAGUGCUAAGUGUUAGGGGGUUUCCGCCCCUUAGUGCUGCAGCUAACGCAAUAAGCACUCCGCCUGGGGAGUACGGUCGCAAGACUGAAACUCAAAGGAAUUGACGGGGGCCCGCACAAGCGGUGGAGCAUGUGGUUUAAUUCGAAGCAACGCGAAGAACCUUACCAGGUCUUGACAUCCUCUGACAACCCUAGAGAUAGGGCUUUCCCUUCGGGGACAGAGUGACAGGUGGUGCAUGGUUGUCGUCAGCUCGUGUCGUGAGAUGUUGGGUUAAGUCCCGCAACGAGCGCAACCCUUGAUCUUAGUUGCCAGCAUUCAGUUGGGCACUCUAAGGUGACUGCCGGUGACAAACCGGAGGAAGGUGGGGAUGACGUCAAAUCAUCAUGCCCCUUAUGACCUGGGCUACACACGUGCUACAAUGGACAGAACAAAGGGCUGCAAGACCGCAAGGUUUAGCCAAUCCCAUAAAUCUGUUCUCAGUUCGGAUCGCAGUCUGCAACUCGACUGCGUGAAGCUGGAAUCGCUAGUAAUCGCGGAUCAGCAUGCCGCGGUGAAUACGUUCCCGGGCCUUGUACACACCGCCCGUCACACCACGAGAGUUUGCAACACCCGAAGUCGGUGAGGUAACCUUUAUGGAGCCAGCCGCCGAAGGUGGGGCAGAUGAUUGGGGUGAAGUCGUAACAAGGUAACCGUA